rnacentral:rRNA from 1 species
CGGACGGGUGAGUAAUGUCUGGGAAACUGCCUGAUGGAGGGGGAUAACUACUGGAAACGGUAGCUAAUACCGCAUAACGCGCAAGACCAAAGAGGGGGACCUUCGGGCCUCUUGCCAUCGGAUGUGCCCAGAUGGGAUUAGCUAGUAGGUGGGGUAAAGGCUCACCUAGGCGACGAUCCCUAGCUGGUCUGAGAGGAUGACCAGCCACACUGGAACUGAGACACGGUCCAG